ensembl:lncRNA
GGACCAACUCUUGGUCCCUUCUCACUUCCAGUCUUUCCUUCUUCACCCACUAGCACACUCACCCUUGUCUGGCUUUGUCCUCCCCAGACUGCCUCUACUGUUCUGUAGACCAGGGGCCAAUGCCUGCCUGCUGCCGCAACAACUUCCCAUACUGCAAGGCUGUCCCAUUGUCCUUUACAGCCAGGGCCAACAUCUCAUCCUUGCUCAAACUGCAUGCCCUGUGUACACUCUGGUGACACUCUGGGUUGCUACUUCUCAUGUAGGUGUUUGGUCCUGCUUCCUACCCAUUCUCUUCUCUGCUGACUCGACUUUGCACCCCUUGAAGGCCCAGUUUUCCGUUCUAUCCACGGUACCCUUUCUGUUUACUCCAGGCCACAGAGCCCUCCCUCCUCUAAACAUUUCCAUUCAACUCACUGAUGUUUAAUCACCUUUCUUCUGCUAUGGGUAUGUUUUCUCCCAUGUCUCAACAAUUUGUUCAUUCCACUUCCUUAUGUUUGUUCAGGGGGAAAAUAGCAUGUUUUAGGUGCUUGGCACUUGACUAGCAGCUUUAGGUACUGCAUUCAGGCUGGCUUGUUCUGACUGGCCCUUCCAGUUUGUCCUCGGUGUUGCUCAUACCCCAGAAGGCUGACUUUCAUGGUACAUCCACAGGACCCCAUUACUGCCUGGCUUCCCUUACUGUGUGGUCCCCCAGCAGGAUUGGGAUAGAACAGAGAUCAGGAGCUGCAGGAGGAAGAACCUGUUCUUUCCUGUCAUCAUUAGGCUGAGGAAUGUGUGCCCUAGUGUCACUGGUGUCUCUCCACCUUGUGGCCCUGCAGCUUCCCAUGUACCGUUCCACACCAUUGCAAAUAGCCACCUUACUAAGAGCUGGGUGACAUGGAUGGCCAAGCCUUCGCCAGAGGACUGGACUGCCACAUGCUAUAGUAGCAUCCACACAGAGAGAAUCCUGUGAACACAGUGGCUACCCAAGAGCCUUUUGUUUUUCUCUCUAAGGAAGAAACCUCACUGGUUUUAAAUUUUGCCAAUGUAGGACCACCAAAGUCAUCUUGAAAAAAAUGUACAACCUGCUCUAUUGAGAGUUUCUGGUGAAGAACUAAAGAAUGAAGGCCCCAGGGCAGGGCUGCAGUUGGGUGGUAUAAAACCUGAUGUUCUGAUGUGGGUGGCAGAUGCUCCAACAGGGACAACUUCAUUUCCUCCACAGUAAAGCAAGCAGCAAUAGCCCCGAGAAAAGACAAAACAAACAAACAAACACAAAAACAAAAAAAGCCAAAUCUGAUCCAACCAGUAAUUCCAAUCACCCCCAAGUCCUGUAGGGAGUCCCCAGAGACCGUAGUUAAUCAGACAAAGGAACUUUAUUGAAAAGGAAUUUCAAUAAAGCCAAUCUAAAGCAUUUCUGAGAAUUGAGUUAUUUAAAAAUGCCCCCAAAGUUACAGAGAGUAGAAACCAGUAUGCAGAGGGCUUGUCUUGGGUUCCACCCAGGAGGCCACGUUCAGCCUCAAGGAUUCCCAGCAUAGCUCUUGGUGAGUGUGUAGGUGAGAUUUUACUGCUCAAGGAUGCUCUCAGAUUCUGCUUAGCUGGAGUUAACUGGAAAAAUAAAAAUAAAAAAAGAUAGCUAGCUCAGCUGGGAACAGACAAAUCUAAGACACUCAUCUUUCCUAAACUCCAUUAACAUACAACCUCAAUUCAAAACUGGAUUCAGUUACUUCGUGGAGAGAAAGGCGUUUUUCUCUUACAGCUGCUGUUGCUGCGUCUGGCUGUAAGCGGGGGUCAGCCAUGACAAAGACAAGCCUGUGUGUUGUUUGUCUUUUCAAGCCCUUGCACUGGCACUGCCAGGCCCUGCGCUGUUUGGAUCAGUUCCCCAGGGACCAGUACUUGUUUAGCUUUCAGCCUUUUUGUCCAGAGUUGAUGAUAGAAGAGGGAGCGGGGUGUUCUGUGUGACUGGUGGCAUGCAUGGGCCACACAGAAGGAUUCU